GGGAAGCCAAAGCAGCAGAGUUGGGGGGAAAUCCUCCCCCCUCCCCUUGAGGAGAAGCCAAGCCCCUCCCCACAAGGGGGGUUUCCCCGUUUCCCAGCAAAUCCUCCAAGCGGAAGAGGGGCUCAGAACAGCCUUCCAA